rnacentral:misc_RNA from 1 species
GAUGAAGAACGCAGCGAAAUGCGAUAAGUAAUGUGAAUUGCAGAAUUCAGUGAAUCAUCGAAUCUUUGAACGCACAUUGCGCCCCCUGGUAUUCCGGGGGGCAUGCCUGUUCGAGCGUCAUUUCACCACUCAAGCCUCGCUUGGGAUUGGGCAACGCGGUCCGCCGCGUGCCUCAAAUCGACCGGCUGGGUCUUCUGUCCCCUAAGCGUUGUGGAAACUAUUCGCUAAAGGGUGUUCGGGAGGCUACGCCGUAAAACAACCCCAUUUCUAAGGUUGACCUCGGAUCAGGUAGGGAUACCCGCUGAACUUAAGCAUAUCAAUAAGCGGAGGA